rnacentral:rRNA from 1 species
GACGAACCGAGCGAACGUUGUUCGGAAUCACUGGGCUUAAAGGGCGCGUAGGCGGGUGCUCAAGUCCGUGGUGAAAUCCUCCGGCUCAACCGGAGAACUGCCUCGGAUACUGGGUGACUCGAGGGUGGUAGGGGUAUGCGGAACUAUCGGUGGAGCGGUGAAAUGCGUUGAUAUCGAUAGGAACUCCGGUGGCGAAAGCGGCGUGCUGGACCUUUUCUGACACUGAGGCGCGAAAGCCAGGGGAGCAAACGGG